GAUGAACGCUGGCGGCAUGCCUAAUACAUGCAAGUCGAACGAGAGGAAGGAAAGCUUGCUUUCCUGAAUCUAGUGGCGAACGGGUGAGUAACACGUAGGUAACCUGCCCAUGUGCCCGGGAUAACUUCUGGAAACGGAUGCUAAAACCGGAUAGGUAACAGACAAGCAUUUGACUGCUAUUAAAGUGGCUAAGGCCAUGAACAUGGAUGGACCUGCGGUGCAUUAGCUAGUUGGUGAGGGAACGGCCCACCAAGGCGACGAUGCAUAGACGGCCUGAGAGGGCGUACGACCACAUUGGAACUGAGACACGGCCCAAACUCCUACGAGAGGCAGCAGUAAGGAAUUUUCGUCAAUGGGGGGAACCCUGAACGAGCAAUGCCGCGUGAGUGAGGAAGGUCUUCUGAUCGUAAAGCUCUGUAGUAGGAGAAAAACGGCACUCAUAGGGAAUGAUGAGUGAGUGAUGGUAUCUUACCAGAAAGUCACGGCUAACUACGUGCCAGCCGCCGCUGUAACAC
rnacentral:rRNA from 1 species